rnacentral:rRNA from 1 species
GAUGAACGCUGGCGGCGUGCCUAAUACAUGCAAGUCGAGCGAACAGACGAGGAGCUUGCUCCUCUGACGUUAGCGGCGGACGGGUGAGUAACACGUGGAUAACCUACCUAUAAGACUGGGAUAACUUCGGGAAACCGGAGCUAAUACCGGAUAAUAUAUUGAACCGCAUGGUUCAAUAGUGAAAGACGGUUUUGCUGUCACUUAUAGAUGGAUCCGCGUCGCAUUAGCUAGUUGGUAAGGUAACGGCUAACCAAGGCGACGAGCCGUAGCUGAUCUGAGGGGAUGAUCAGCCACACUGGAACUGAGACACGGUCCAGACUCCUACGGGAGGCAGCAGUGGGGAAUAUUGGACAAUGGGCGCAAGCCUGAUCCAGCCAUACCGCGUGGGUGAAGAAGGCAUUCGGGUUGUAAAGCCAUGUUGUUGGGAAAGAAAAGCAGCAGGUUAAUACCCCGAUGUGCUGACGGUACCCAAAGAAUAAGCACCGGCUAACUUCGUG